GCCAUAAAAAUAGGGCCACUGUGAAUAUUAAAGGAGAUAAUGUAUACAUAGGGCUUAGGAUGGUCUCUGGUAGGUCAUAAUCCUUCAAAGAUCUUAUAGCUGAAUCGAGAAAAUAAGUCAAGAAGUUGCAUGGACCUCAAAAGAUGAGGAUUUUACCAAACCACAUUAGGGGUCUACAAGCAAAAUCUCAGAGGGAAUUCACAGGACCACAUGAGCAAUUUCCCCAUUUGAUUCUCUAGAUAAAUUUUCACCAAAUGAAUAUCAAGAUGGAAGACAGCGGGUUUUGAGCCAUAAUGAAUUGCUUGCAUCACUCUUUCCCAAUUCCAGAACAACUCAUGGAGAAAAAAAUCUGAUCUAAGAAAUCUGCCUUAGAUCAGGCACCUGGAAGUGUCUCAGCUGGCUAGAGGAAGCCAGGGAUCUCUAGAGAAAGGAGGAAUUCAGGCAAACACUCCUGAAGGGUUCAUUGAACAGAACCUCAGCCAGAGGGGAGAACCAGUCAGCACACAUCAAAGCUGGAAGAUACUAUAAGGUUUACCUUGUCCAAGAAAUCAGGAAUCAGAUCAACCAGAGAUUAUGAUAGAGAUACAACAAAUGAGAAAGAGAAGCGAAGCUGAUACCUAGGCCUCUUAGCGAGCUGCAAAAAUGAUUUCUGAACAAGAAGUUUUUCCUCUGGCUAGCUGACAUAACUGACAAAGAGCCUCUCCCGGCUCAUACCCCUCCCACACCUAAAACAUGUCCUCCUUCACUGCCCUUUGUUCUCAGUGUCUGUAUCCUCAAGAUGAUAUAAUCCCUACUUUCCCGCCAUAUACAAAUGAGGUAUAUUCCAGUGCAGUUUUCUAUCCAGUCAUGUAAACUAAAUGUAACUUCCUCAUCCGAUGAACUGGUGUUAAAUGCCCUGCUUCUGUAUCCCCAUCCCUCUUCCCUUGAUCCAUAUAAAUCCUGUUCACUGCCAGCUCCUUGCCAAUCGCUUUGUGGAGAAUCUCCAGUCAGCUUGCCACCAUAAAUAACGAAGCUGUACACUUGCCUCCAACCUCUGGGUGUGUUCUCGAUUCUUGCCCCGAUCCUGCUAAACCACUCAGAGCUACAACGCUAUGAACAUCACAUCGGCUGUUACGUUAGCAUUGUGUAUUUUGCUUUCUCUCUAUACUAGAAACAGUUAAGGGAAAAUUCAUUGUUUUUCAUUUCAAAAUGCCUUUCUCAACUUCUUACAAUCCCCAUGACAGGUAGGUCUUUGUAGAUGAUGGUACUUGUUACUACUCUUUGAAGAGGAAUUGAGAAUCUC